GGCGCGGUCAUCAAGCAAACCGCGCUGAUGUAAACGGUCAGCCGUUUCCGCCCACUUUGCUGGGAACUCCGGCGUGUUGACAUAAGGCUGAAGGCCACGAACCUCGGAGCCAAGCUCCAUCUGCUUUUGCUUGUACUCAGCGGCCUGCGCUUCCGCCUGCAUGCCCUGGAUCUUCGCCGCCUGAGCAAGCGGGGUAGCCGGGUCGAACGUGGGGAUCUGUGCGGCGAGAGUGUUGUCGAUGAUCGCCAUUAGUAGAGGCCCCCGAUCUGGUUGCCAUUAUAACUUGCAAGAUAAUUCGGGCUUGGCGCGUAGCUGCUCUUGCCCAUUUGGUUGUAGAGCGAGAGACUAUUCAGUCCACUGUUGAAGCCCUUGGUCAUACCGAGGAUGCCUGACGCGUCAGCUGUUCCAGCGCCCAUAGUCGCGUCGCCAGCGAAUUUCGCGCCUACAGUGUUUGGUCCCGCCACGCCGCUCGCGGCUUGUAUGCCCUGCCCCGACAUGGCCUGAAG
rnacentral:misc_RNA from 1 species